rnacentral:rRNA from 1 species
GUGGCGCACGGGUGAGUAACACGUGGGAACCUGCCUUUCGGUUCGGGAUAACGUCUGGAAACGGACGCUAACACCGGAUACGUCCUUCGGGAGAAAGUUUACGCCGAAAGAGGGGCCCGCGUCCGAUUAGGUAGUUGGUGGGGUAAUGGGACACCUAGCCGACGAUCGGCAUCUGGUAUGAGAAGAUGAUCAGCCAGUCUGCGACUGAUCACACGGUUCACACUAUUUCGGGAGUCACCCGUGGGGUAUCUUUUUCCUUGGGUUUUCCACUCAUCCCCAAACCCGAGAGACCGUUUUUAAAGUUUUGAUUGUUUCAUUUUUUUCUGGCCCCCAUUUUGAUUUCAGAAAGGUUUUUGGGUUUGGCCCGGUGGGGGGCGAACCCCCCCCGGAAACAAAAAAUGAGCCUAAGACAUGGGGGUAAUAAUUCAAACCAGCUGGAGCCCUCACCGAAGUAAAGGCCCAGCCCGCUUUCAUAUUGUGUAAUGAUCCCUCCGCAGGUUCACCUACAGAGACCUUUUACGACUUUUUUUCAUCUAUUUAAAUACGUUCACUGAGCUAUAACUAGUUUUUUCUUUUUUAUUUCAAGAAAAGGCUUUCUCAUCAUAACUUUCGACAAACAAUACUUCUAUACUUCUGCUUUAUAUAUUAUAUUUUCCUGUUCUCCCUUCCCUCUAUUCAUUCAUAUUGUAUCCUUUAUUCUCCUCAUAUCUGUCUCCUUUAUUUUUUUUUGUAUCUUUUUACUUAAUACCUAUAAAAUUAUUUAUAGUUAUUAUUGGUAUGUUCUACCUUCUUAGUAUUGUUUGCUCUAUUAUUUAAAUUUUAAAAACUAUCCUGCCUUCUAAUUAUUUUAUGUUUUUAUUAUUAAUUUUUAUUAUUUUUACAUAAUUAUAUAGAUUAUUGGUACAUUAAAGUAUUUACCUCUAGACUUGGAGGAUAUUGUGUCUUCUGUC